rnacentral:rRNA from 1 species
UUCGGACUAGCCCAGGGAGGUCGGCAACGACCACCCAGGGCCGGAAAGUUGGUCAAACUCGGUCAUUUAGAGGAAGUAAAAGUCGUAACAAGGUCUCCGUAGGUGAACCUGCGGAGGGAUCAUU